rnacentral:sRNA from 1 species
GCCAGGCAUGGCGGUGCACGCCUGUAAUCCCAGCAACUUGAGAGGCUGAGGCAGGAGGAUCACAAGUUUGAGGCCAGCCUGGGCAAUUUAGCAAAGACCUUCAGUGGCUUAGCCAGACCCUCAGCAACUUAGCAAGAUACUGUCUCAA